GCUAGCGGCAGGCCUAACACAUGCAAGUCGAGGGAGAGGUUACCUUCGGGUAACCAAAACCGGCGCACGGGUGCGUAACGCGUAUACAAUCUGCCUUUCACAUAGGGAUAGCCCGAAGAAAUUUGGAUUAAUACCUAAUGGUAUAUAGGAGCGGCAUCGUUUUUAUAUUAAAGCUACGGUGGUGAAAGAUGAGUAUGCGUUCUAUUAGCUAGUUGGAGAGGUAACGGCUCCCCAAGGCGACGAUAGAUAGGGGUUCUGAGAGGGAUGUCCCCCACACUGGUACUGAGAUACGGACCAGACUCCUACGGGAGGCAGCAGUGAGGAAUAUUGGACAAUGGUCGGAAGACUGAUCCAGCCAUGCCGCGUGCAGGAUGAAGGUCCUAUGGAUUGUAAACUGCUUUUGUAAGGGAAGAAUAAGGAGUACGUGUACUUUGAUGACGGUACCUUACGAAUAAGCAUCGGCUAACUCCGUGCCAGCAGCCGCGGUAAUACGGAGGAUGCGAGCGUUAUCCGGAAUCAUUGGGUUUAAAGGGUCCGUAGGCGGGCUGAUAAGUCAGAGGUGAAAGC
rnacentral:rRNA from 1 species